rnacentral:rRNA from 1 species
CAGCCGCCACGGUAAUACGUAGGUCCCGAGCGUUGUCCGGAUUUAUUGGGCGUAAAGCGAGCGUAGGCGGUUAGAAAAGUCUGAAGUGAAAGGCAGUGGCUCAACCAUUGUAGGCUUUGGAAACUGUUUAACUUGAGUGCAGAAGGGGAGAGUGGAAUUCCAUGUGUAGCGGUGAAAUACGUAGAUAUAUGGAGGAACACCGGUGGCGAAAGCGGCUCUCUGGUCUGUAACUGGCGCUGAGGCUCGAAAGCGUGGGGAGCGAACAGGAUUAGAUACCCCUGUAGUCCCUGUCUCUUAUACC